CGGAAAGACCCCGUGAACCUUUACUAUAGCUUGACACUGAACAUUGAGCCUUGAUGUGUAGGAUAGGUGGGAGGCUUUGAAGUGUGGACGCCAGUCUGCAUGGAGCCGACCUUGAAAUACCACCCUUUAAUGUUUGAUGUUCUAACGUGGACCCGUGAUCCGGGUUGCGGACAGUGUCUGGUGGGUAGUUUGACUGGGGCGGUCUCCUCCUAAAGAGUAACGGAGGAGCACGAAGGUUGGCUAAUCCUGGUCGGACAUCAGGAGGUUAGUGCAAUGGCAUAAGCCAGCUUGACUGCGAGCGUGACGGCGCGAGCAGGUGCGAAAGCAGGUCAUAGUGAUCCGGUGGUUCUGAAUGGAAGGGCCAUCGCUCAACGGAUAAAAGGUACUCCGGGGAUAACAGGCUGAUACCGCCCAAGAGUUCAUAUCGACGGCGGUGUUUGGCACCUCGAUGUCGGCUCAUCACAUCCUGGGGCUGAAGUAGGUCCCAAGGGUAUGGCUGUUCGCCAUUUAAAGUGGUACGCGAGCUGGGUUUAGAACGUCGUGAGACAGUUCGGUCCCUAUCUGCCGUGGGCGCUGGAGAACUGAGGGGGGCUGCUCCUAGUACGAGAGGACCGGAGUGGACGCAUCACUGGUGUUCGGGUUGUCAUGCCAAUGGCACUGCCCGGUAGCUAAAUGCGGAAGAGAUAAGUGCUGAAAGCAUCUAAGCACGAAACUUGCCCCGA
rnacentral:rRNA from 1 species